rnacentral:sRNA from 1 species
GUUGGAUAUGGUGAUACUGUUCCAAAAUCAACACCUGGAAAAGUAAUAGGAGGUGCAUGUGCUGUUUGUGGUCUUCUAGUAAUAGCAAUGCCAAUUACAAUUGUUGCUUCUAAA